ACACGUGAUUCAGAGUUUGAUCCUGGCUCAGGACGAACGCUGGCGGCGUGCUUAACACAUGCAAGUCGAACGGAGAUAAACGCUGAUUUGAUGGAAGCUUGCUUCUGGAUUUUCUUGUUUAUCUUAGUGGCGGACGGGUGAGUAACGCGUGAGUAACCUGCCUCUAAGUGGGGAAUAACGUUCUGAAAAGAUCGCUAAUACCGCAUAAUGUUAUUUUAUCGCAUGGUAGAAUAACCAAAGAUUUAUCGCUUAGAGAUGGACUCGCGUCCGAUUAGCUAGUUGGUGGGGUAACGGCCUACCAAGGCGACGAUCGGUAGCCGGACUGAGAGGUUGAACGGCCACAUUGGGACUGAGACACGGCCCAG
rnacentral:rRNA from 1 species